rnacentral:rRNA from 1 species
AGAGUUUGAUCAUGGCUCAGAACGAACGGUGGCGGCGUGGAUAAGACAUGCAAGUCGAACGGGAUUUCAAUUGUAGCAAUACGAUUGAAGUCCAGUGGCGCAAGGGUGCGUAACACGUGGGCAAUCUGCCUGGGGGCGCGGGAUAGCUUGGCGAAAGCCAAAUUAAUACCGCAUGUGGCUAUCGAGGGAUUCCUCGAAACGCUAAAGACGGCGCAAGCUGUCACUCCCGGAUGAGCCCGCGGCCUAUCAGCUAGUUGGUGAGGUAACGGCUCACCAAGGCUAUGACGGGUAGCUGGUCUGAGAGGACGACCAGCCACACUGGAACUGAGACACGGUCCAGACACCUACGGGUGGCAGCAGUCGAGAAUUUUUCUCAAUGGGGGAAACCCUGAAGGAGCGACGCCGCGUGGAGGAUGAAGGUUUUCGGAUUGUAAACUCCUGUCAUUUGGGAACAAACCUUUCAUUUAACCAGUGAAAGACUGAUAGUACCAGAAGAGGAAGAGACGGCUAACUCUGUGCCAGCAGCCGCGGUAAUACAGAGGUCUCAACCGUUGUUCGGAUUCAUUGGGCGUAAAGGGUGCGUAGGCGGUCGCGCAAGUCGGAUGUGAAAUCUUAGGGCUCAACCCUGAAACUGCAUUCGAUACUGCGUGGCUCGAGUACUGGAGAGGAGACUGGAAUUUACGGUGUAGCAGUGAAAUGCGUAGAUAUCGUAAGGAAGACCAGUGGCGAAGGCGAGUCUCUGGACAGUUACUGACGCUGAGGCACGAAGGCCAGGGGAGCAAACGGGAUUAGAUACCCCAGUAGUCC